ACCACAACACUCGAUUGGGGGCAGUUAACUGCCGGGAGAAAAACAUGUCUAAGGGCAAAGAAUCUGCCGAGACAUCAGUUACUGCCACUAAAAGCACAUUAGGGUAGGCCAACUGCCGGGAGAACUUAAGCAACACCGGCGCAGAAACCGCCGGUACACUUUACGACCCAAACACUGCCAGGAUAACUAAAUCUCGGCCCAUGAUCCGCUGGAGACCGUCUUCGCCGCGAGACCGAAUAUCGGCCCUAAGCGCGCGCGGUAAGGAAAAAAACCGCGCGACUUGCGAAAAUUUUGGCACACAAAAGAAACAUACGCGUCGGCCCUACCUCUACCAGACCGCAAUAGCCAUCCCCAAAUCAUGCCCAACCCCCACUCGUGCCCUCCGCCAGAUCCGCCACUGCCCCCCCGCCCCUAGAGCUUCCCACUGCCGCCCCCGUCGACCCCAGAGCUUUCCACCACCGACGAGCGGCCACCUUCCACUCGAUCAGACCACUGCCGGCGUACCUCCCCACCAUCGCAGCUCCUCUGCCGCCCACAAAUCCACCGGACUGCAACCCGCCGCCGCCGCCAACCAUCCCACCGCCGACGGCCGCCCUCCAACCAGAUCACUGCCGCCAUCACCCCCCAUCACGGCAGCCCCUUCGCUCCUCCGCCUCCCCAACAACCACCCCACCGCCGCUGACCACUGUCGCGUUGCCCCACUCCAAAGCAGCGCGGCCAAGCACCUGAUUGACGGGGAGCAGCACCGUCGUCGCCGAGCUACUCCACCGGCGGCAAUCAUCCUCCAUGGAACAACUUCCUCGCCACCAACCUACUCGCGCACUUCCUCGCCGAGCAGGCCUCCCCGCAAGCUUCACCGAGCACCAAGCCGCGGGUCUGCCUCCUUCACACGCCCCCGAAGCAGCAGACCGUCGACCCUCCUCUCGUGCAAGCAGCUUUGCCUCCUCAACAUCGUUUCCCUGGACAUCGCUGCCUCUUUGACAGGUGAGAUUUUGUUGCAAUUUCAUUGCCUUUUUUUGUUCUGAAUGUGCAGCUAUGCAAUUGCCUUAAUUAGAUUUGUUGACACCUGACUAAGUUGUUUAGUUGAGCUUUGGAGUUCAUUUUAAUUUGAGAUGAAAGAAAGCUAAUUAUUUAAGUCUUUGUUUGUUUAGUUGAUGCCCCAAUGUAAUACAUCCAUUUUAUUGUGCUGGAGUAUAGAGAGAAGGGAUUACUGUGUUCGGUCUGGUCUAUGAAGAGAGAUGAGGAUUAUUGUUAUUCACUUCAGUUAGGUUCAAUUAGGAAUACCUGAACAUUUUAGUGCUAAUAUUGUUAUUCCAGUACAGAACUAAUUUCAGAAUGACCAAAUUUGUGGUCAUACACUCUGCAUUCUCAACAUCAAGGUACUCCAAUUCUCCUUGUUGAGAAAAAUACUCCUUGUACUAGUCUAACUCAAUGCAGGGCAGAUAGUGGUGCCUCAUAAUGUCACUCCAUUGCCCAUGGGGGCAAUUUCAUUGCCCCAGUGCAUGUAGAUGCAGGGGCAGGAGGUAAAGAUGCAAAAGCUCUUUUUAACCACCUGUAAGGCAGUGUGCAAUGCAAGACCUGCAUUAGUUAGUGGAUUAAGGCACAAGACCAGCUUCAGGGUUUAAGGCUUAAGCCAAGAGGAGAAAGAAACGGCUUUGCAUAUGAAAAGAUACCAUCAUUAUUGUUUCCAUGAAAUUGGUAAUAUAUGUGGCAUGUGUUCAUCUUUUCUGCAAGAGCAACUUGUGUCCUGAGACCUUCUAGUGGUACCGACACCCAUAAACUGUCUUCUUGCAUGAUCAGUUACUGAAAAUAGGGACAAUCAGCGUUACUUCUGAGUACUUAGGAGUAGUUAAGGUAUCUAAGUUAUUAUUGGUACUGUUACAAUGUGCUUGUAUUGAACCAUCUAUCCAAGUUUAUUACUAACUCUAUAUGUGUUUCUCUGCACCUAUGCUUGCCUAUACGUCUAUUUGCUUUAUGGACAUGACUCUUGUGUUUGUUUGCUUGUUAUACUAUGACAAUUGCAAUGCUUAUUUAGGCUACUAGGUUGUGUGCUUGUGCUUGUGGUAAACAAACUGAAGGUACAUGUUUGAUCCCUGUACAUCUUGUUGUAAACUUUGUGCAACCUACCACCGCUCAACAUGAGGUGCUGCAAGAGAAUGAAACAUACUUUUUUGCAAAAGAAGGCAGCAGGGCGCACACAACAAAUUGGAAGUGGACAAGCGCAUGGCAAAAGCAGGAAUGCGACCACAAGCAAGCGGAUGAGGUUUUGCUACAGAAGUUGUCCGAGGUUUGGAAGAUCUUCAAGCUGCUGAAGAUUUGGAAGACCUACGAUUAAGUUGGUGCAGUGAUCAUGUAAUAUGCUUUGUUUGUUGAACCUGGACACUUGCUAUGCUCAUUUUGCUGGUUAAGCCACUAUAUGCUCAUUUCAGUUGUGUGGCACCCUCAGAAAGAUAUGUACUUUCUCCUUUUGUGGCACUACUUUAGUUUGGUUGUGGCACAUUUAACAUAUAUGUACUGUACUUGUGGAGAACCUCCCGAAAUAUAUAUAUGGUUAUUAUGUUUAUCGGAUGAA